AAGGAAAGCUGGCAAAUGCAGUGUGAUCCAAUGCAGACUGACCUGUGCUCUUUCAUCAGAUCUGAGAGAUGGUGCCAACUUCACCUCCUGUGUGUGCCAAAGCCCUGUGACAUCUCUUUAUCUGCCCCUGUUACAAACUUACAUCUGCAGACUUUUCCAGCAGAAGUCAGGCUAUCUGGGGAUAAUGGACAGAGCACUCACAGUAAUUGCCUCUUCUCACUAUUCAUGGGGGCACAAGAAAUCACAGAGCAGCUUUUCAAAAGGAUUUGGACCCUGACAUCAUCACCUUGGGGCCACAUCACUGAAGGAUUUUCCUGAAGUAGCCAGAAAUAUUUCCUGGGGAGCCUGUGGUUUGAAAAUUUCCAGUCUGAUGAAGUAGAAGAAAUUGGAGAACUAGUCAUGUUCUAAAGAAAACCCUUUAAAGUAUGAUGAAAGCAACACAAGUCAAGCUGAUACUGGCAGCUGAAAUCCCUGACAUCGGGCCAUGAGCACAGGCAGAACAGAGGAGAGCCAAGCUUUCAUCCUGCAGUUCCUUAUCUUGGGAGAAGAAGUGGUCGAUAUCCAGUGGUUUUAAUAAAUUAAUCUUCAGCUGCUGAGGAAAGCUGCUGACCUCCACUGCUGCCUUGUGGAAGUCUGUGUGUGCCAACAGCCCUGAGGGAGACCCUGAGCACCCUGUGCUUGGAAGGAGAAAGUGCAGAGGCAACACCCAGAAGUGUCUGAGCUCUGCAGAGGAUUGGAGCAGGUGACUUGCGUGUCCCAAAACAGCUUUAUGGAGGAUGUGCCAGUCUGGGGAUCAAUCUCGGCCUCAGAGGAAGCUCUUGCCUCAGUAACUUUCUGAAGACAUGCACAUUCUCCACAUAAAGGAAAGAAGAAAAUAUAUUUAAUUUGGUUUCCUCUAGAAGCUACACCCUUUUGGCACAGCUUUCAUUUACAAC